GGACGAGGAAAGGAACAGAUAGAACGUGCAACACCGGGGUCGAUGACUGAAAAACAUUGGCAAUUUCCUGUGAUGGACCACCGUUGUAAAAGAAAAGAGUAAGCCUUCCAUUGGGUUAACUGUACCCUGCAAUUGAACUUCAUCUGCAAAUUUAAACAUCGCACUUUUGAUUCUGGAGUUCAAAUCAUUUAUGUUAACAGUGAAAAAAUAGUUCCAGCAACAAUCCUCGUGUAGUAUCACGUCACUAGUCUGCUAGUCUGAGUGUUUACGCUUAACGCUACUCUUUAUUUUCCGUUUUGUAGAUUGUUUAUUGUAUAUUCCCCUAAUUGUGCCCUGUUAUUAUUAUUGUAAAUGUAAGGUAAUGAAAAUGCCGGGAUUAGUGUUUUCCAGAACAUCCAAAAUAAAUCAGAUGUUUACUCAUGUUUGUUUAAUAAAGUGAGAACAGAACAGAAAGAGUUAUAAAAUGAUAGGCAAGCUUACUUAACUGGAGAAAUUGUAACUGUCGGCUAAUUAGCUCAAAGAACAGUUUGAGAGUGGUCCACAACAGACUGUGUUAUCAUGGAGAUGAAUGGAGCUUAGGAAAACUGUCGUGUUUUAAUUUAUCAGAUCUUUGUUCAGAUAGCUUUUUAGUUGUAAUUUAGCCUCAUGUGGUUUGCAGCUUGCUAGAGAGGUUAGUCAAAAGAAAUGAGAGUCAGAUAGGCAUGCAUCUGUAAGCAAAGUACAGUAAAACACUAACUUCAUCAUAAACUGUGCAAAAGGCACUGAGACAUGUUCUCCAUUUGCAUUGUGUGAAGAGCAAAAGUUAGUAGAUUGGCCUCACAGUGUCUUACUAAAAAAGGAAGUAACUAGCAGAGUAGCUUGGAAUUACUGAAAAAGUAACCAGAACAAGGAAAUUAGUCAUCUAAUUCCAAGAGCAACUAAUUAAAGUUUUACCUCUG